GCUGGUUUGGCUCAGUGGAUAGAGCAUCGGCCUGCGGACUGAAGAGUCCUGGGUUCGAUUCCCAGUGAGGGCA
rnacentral:tRNA from 1 species